UACGUAGGGUCCGAGCGUUGUCCGGAAUUACUGGGCGUAAAGAGCUCGUAGGUGGUUUGUCGCGUUGUUCGUGAAAAACUCACAGCUCAACUGUAGGCGUGCGGGCGAUACGGGGCAGACUUGAGUACUGCAGGGGGAGACUGGAAUUCCUGGUGUAGCGGUGGAAUGCGCAGAUAAUCAGGAGGAACACCCCGUGGCUAAGGCGGUUCUCUAGUACGGUACUGACGCUG
rnacentral:rRNA from 1 species